UCCGGUUUCACACCGGCAGUCCCACUAGAGUGCCCGGCCGAACCGCUGGCAACUAGGAGCAGGGGUUGCGCUCGUUGCGGGACUUAACCCAACAUCUCACGACACGAGCUGACGACAACCAUGCACCACCUGUACACCGCCCUUGCGGACCCCGUAUCUCUACGAGUUUUCGGUGUAUGUCAAGCCUUGGUAAGGUUCUUCGCGUUGCAUCGAAUUAAACCACACGCUCCGCUGCUUGUGCGGGCCCCCGUCAAUUCCUUUGAGUUUCAACCUUGCGGUCGUACUUCCCAGGUGGGAUACUUAAUGCUUUCGCUCAGACACACACUGUGUAUCGCGUAUGUCGAGUAUCCAUCGUUUAGGGCGUGGACUAC
rnacentral:misc_RNA from 1 species